rnacentral:tRNA from 1 species
GGGGAUAUGGUGGAAUUGGUAGACACAAGGGACUUAAAAUCCCUUGGAGCUUGUCUCCGUGCCAGUUCAAGUCUGGCUAUCCCCA